rnacentral:rRNA from 1 species
GACGAACGCUGGCGGCGUGCCUAAUACAUGCAAGUUGAGCGCUGAAGGUUGGUACUUGUACCUACUGGAUUAGCAGCGAACGGGUGAGUAACGCGUGGGUAAUCUGCCUUUGAGCGGGGGACAACAUUUGGAAACGAAUGCUAAUACCGCAUAAAAACUUUAAACACAAGUUUUAAGUUUGAAAGAUGCAAUUGCAUCACUCAAAGAUGAUCCCGCGUUGUAUUAGCUAGUUGGUGAGGGAAAGGCUCACCAAGGCGAUGAUACAUAACCGACCUGAGAGGGGGGUCGGCCCCAUUGGGAAUGAGACAACGCCCAAACCCCCACGGGAGGGAACAGGAGGGAAUCUUCGGCAAUGGACGGAAGUCUGAACGAGGAACGCCGCGGGAGUGAAGAAGGUUUUCGGGUCGUAAAACUCUGUUGGUAGAGAAGAAAGUUGGUGAGAGUGGAAAGCUCAUGAAGUGACGGUAACUAACCAGAAAGAGACGGCUAACUACGUG